rnacentral:lncRNA from 1 species
AGUGCUUUCAGGAACAUCAAGACGAUAGCUGAGUGCCUUGCAGAUGAACUCAUCAAUGCUGCCAAGGGUUCUUCAAAUAGCUAUGCCAUUAAGAAGAAGGAUGAGAUUGAAAGAGUUGCCAAGGCCAAUCGUUGAGAGAGGUUGACAUUGGAACAGAAUUUACAGAUUUUGAUUGUAUACUUGAUUUGUUCACCUUUCUUUCCAACUCAGUUUCUUUUGAUAUGUACGACUAUUGCUUACUCCUGUGAAUGAUUUUUGUUUCUGCAGCUAUGCCAUUAAGAAGAAGGAUGAGAUUGAAAGAGUUGCCAAGGCCAAUCGUUGAGAGGUUGACAUUGUAACAGAAUUUACAAGGUAGUUUUGGGUUAUGCUAUUUUCUCAUUUCUGUUUUCUUUUAGCACUAUAGUCUCAUGGAAAUGAAAGUGGAUCUGAGUAGCAAGGUUGACAUUGGAACAGAAUUUACAAAGCAGUUUUGGGUUAUGCUGUUUUCUCAUUUCUGUUUUCGUUAGCACUAUAGUCUCAUGGAAAUGAAAGUGGAUCUGAGUAGCACCACAGCUAUUGCAUGUGGAUUUUAAUAUCUUAAAGAGUAUUUUGCUUGUUGAAACUUUAUAUGCUUGGUAUUGUUAUAGAUGUUACAAUUUGAAUUCCUUGGGGAUCUGAUUAGCAGCACCUACUAUUUCUUGUGGAUUUUAAUUUCUCAGUAUUCUCUUCUUUUAGGUAAACAGUGAAGACAUGUCCAGUAGCAUGUGCAUUUUAAUUUGGUGAUAACUAUCCUCAAUAACCAUUUGGUCAUUUCUUAA